AAAUAGUUUAAGAUGAGCUUCUAACUCAUUAGUUAAUAGAAAAUUCUGUUCUAUUUU
rnacentral:tRNA from 1 species